CACGGGGGUUGCGAGUGUUGUCCGGAAUUACUAGGCGUAAAGGGCAGGCAGGCGGAUCCAUAAGUUUAUCGUUUAAAGGUCGUCGGCUUAACCGGCGUAGGGCGGUAGAUACUGUGGAUCUGGAAUGCGGUUGGGGAAGACAGAAUUCCUGGUGUAGCGGUGGAAUGCGCAGAGAUCAGGAGGAAUACCGAAGGCGAGGGCAGUCUUCCAAGCCGUUAUUGACGCUCAACUGCGAAGGUGUGGGUAUCAAACAGGAUUAGGAUACCCUGGUAGUCCCUGA
rnacentral:rRNA from 1 species